ACGGGGUGCAGCAGGGGAGAAAACUUGACAAUGCGAGAAAUCGUGAUCAGGGGACUCCAGUUGGCUGGAUUAAUAUUCAGUCUGAACCGACUUUAAAUCGGUCGGGUAAUAGGGGCGGGAAAGACCGGUGCCAGCCGCCGCGGUAAUACCGGCGCCCCAAGUGGUCGUCACUAUUAUUGGGCCUAAAACGUCCGUAGCCGGUUUGGUAAAUCCGUGGGUAAAUCAGACAGCCUAACUGUCUGAAUUCUGCGGGGACUGCCAGACUUGAGACCGGGAGAGGUACGGGGUACCUGCGGGGUAGCGGUAAAAUGCGAUCAUCCCGUAGGGACCACCUGUUGCGAAGGCGCCGUACUAGAACGGAUCUGACGGUCAGGGGCGAAGCCUAGGGGCACGAACCGGAUUAGAUACCCGGGUAGUCCUAGGUGUAAACGCUGUGGACUUGGUGUCCGGGACUUUCAGAGACUUUCCGGUGCCGGAGUGAAGAUGUUAAGUCCACUGCCUGGGGAGUACGGUCGCAAGGAUGAAACUUAAAGGAAUUGGCGGGGGAGCAC
rnacentral:rRNA from 1 species